UUGCUUCUCAGGGCCUCAGUCCCUAGUUUGUAAACAGCAUGCUGAUGCUUCAAGUUCAAGUCUGUAGUCUUGAAACAUGGUGCUGCUCUCCAGCAGAAGGGACAUCAGGUAUGAGCCAAUCUAGAGCAUCAACCUGUAAAGAGUCACAGAGCUAGGAGCUGUGCCAGUGGCUUAUCUUGUUGCUGUGACCAAAUGCCUGAAAUAGAUUAAGGAAGAAAUUGUUUAAUUGGCCCAGUUUGAGGGUUCAGUCCAUCAUGGUGGAGGAAUGCAAGGCAACAGGGGUUGAAGUUUCAUCUGCACUUGGAAGUCAGGAAGAGGUGAAUGUUUGUGCUUAGUUAUCUUUUUCCUUUGUAUUUAACAUGAGUACCUAACCCACAAGAAGAUUACCCUGAUGAGGGAAGAUUCCCCUUCCCUAAAUGUGGUUAGCACCACUUGCUCCUCAGUCAAUCCUCUCUGGAAACAUCUUCAUGGUCACACUCAAGAACUGGCUCUCCUAAGUCAAGUUGGUAGGAACUGCAGAUAAAGCCAGUAAGAGGUUUGCCUGGUUUAGCCAGUGAUACAGAAAUGCAAGCCCACACCUCACCUUCAUUUAAAGCUGGCCCUGAGUUUCUUAAUUAACAUGUGACAAUGUCUGAGUCCUGUCACCUGCUAGAGAGCAUGAUGCCUGCUUAAGUUUUACCUCAACUGUCACUUUCUAGGGAUGUCCUAACUUCAUGGCAGCCUUCAGCCUCUGUUCCCCCACAUAGGACUCCUUUAAUAUUUGGCUUGGAGCACCUGCUGCUUAGAGACUGGGAGGAAGUCUGAAAACUCUUAGGAAAAGGGUUCCCAUGGCAAUGCCAGCAUCAUGGAAGGUUUCAGAACUUUUACCUCCUGCUCCUAGUAUUGUGGAAAUUCAAAAGGCACAAGGCAUGCAGACAGAUGCUAAUUACCUCACUGGGUUCUUAUGUUUGGCAGAAGAAAGCGGAGCACAAUGCAGGCUGGCAGGCACUCCUCCUCAGCGUAGACUCAAGUGGCUCACUGGAAUUGAAGCAUUGUCUUAUCACGGUUUUCGGUCAGUGGAGGGCACCAGGUAUGAAGGGCCAUUUGCCUUAUACUCUUAAAGGUUCACCCAGUGCCUUUGUAGGUCUGACAGGGUUUUUCUGGCACCAUUUUUCUGGCAGAAACAAUACCCCUAGGGGGAUGCAAUCUCCUACCUCUGAGCUGUCAGUGGAGUGGUAGAAUUGUUCGUAGAAAACUAUUGGCAUUUAGACACAGGUCACUGAGGUCUUCAGCACCCUUUCCUUAAAUGUUUGAACCUUCAGGUUGAAGAGGACAAUGAAUUGGAUUUCAGGAGCCUGUGAGCCCAUUAGUGCACCUACAGGUCAAUAGAACACAGUUUCCAGCUGAAAAUUAUGGCUGUUUCACAAAUUGCUAACGUGCCCAGAAGAUGGGAGCCCAGCUGCAGAGCACAUGAGUUCAGACUCCUGCCCGAGCCUCGUGUUUCACGAUGACCUCAACUUCCUGUGCUGAAUGGGAACCCAUGCGACCCCCAGCAGAUGAUGAGCAUCCGAGCUGACUUCCCUUGCAACUGUGAAGACCCAGUUGCUCACUGAGGACUACUCAGGCUGUUUGCUCAGGAAAGAGCUGG
rnacentral:sRNA from 1 species